rfam:Canis lupus familiaris chromosome X, whole genome shotgun sequence.
GGCGGGAGGCCGGAUCCUGGGCUGUGUCCUGGCGCCCUGUGCUCCGGAGCCUGCGCUGUUGGAUUCGCGCUCCCGGGCCGCGCAAUCCCCU